AUUGAACGCUGGCGGCAUGCCUUACACAUGCAAGUCGAACGGUAACAGGUCUUCGGAUGCUGACGAGUGGCGAACGGGUGAGUAAUACAUCGGAACGUGCCUAGUAGUGGGGGACAACUACUCGAAAGAGUGGCUAAUACCGCAUGAGAUCUACGGAUGAAAGCAGGGGAUCGCAAGACCUUGUGCUACUAGAGCGGCCGAUGGCAGAUUAGGUAGUUGGUGGGAUAAAAGCUUACCAAGCCGACGAUCUGUAGCUGGUCUGAGAGGACGAUCAGCCACACUGGGACUGAGACACGGCCCAGACUCCUACGGGAGGCAGCAGUGGGGAAUUUUGGACAAUGGGCGAAAGCCUGAUUCAGCAAUGCCGCGUGCAGGAUGAAGGCCUUCGGGUUGUAAACUGCUUUUGUACGGAACGAAAAGCCCCGGGUUAAUACCCUGGGGUCAUGACGGUACCGUAAGAAUAAGCACCGGCUAACUACAUGCCAGCAGCCGCGGUAA
rnacentral:rRNA from 1 species